AUUGAACGCUGGCGGCAGGCCUAACACAUGCAAGUCGAGCGGCAGCGGGAAAGUAGCUUGCUACUUUUGCCGGCGAGCGGCGGACGGGUGAGUAAUGCCUGGGGAUCUGCCCAGUCGAGGGGGAUAACUACUGGAAACGGUAGCUAAUACCGCAUACGCCCUACGGGGGAAAGCAGGGGACCUUCGGGCCUUGCGCGAUUGGAUGAACCCAGGUGGGAUUAGCUAGUUGGUGAGGUAAUGGCUCACCAAGGCGACGAUCCCUAGCUGGUCUGAGAGGAUGAUCAGCCACACUGGAACUGAGACACGGUCCAGACUCCUACGGGAGGCAGCAGUGGGGAAUAUUGCACAAUGGGGGAAACCCUGAUGCAGCCAUGCCGCGUGUGAAGAAGGCCUUCGGGUUGUAAAGCACUUUCAGCGAGGAGGAAAGGUUGGUAGCUAAUAACUGCCAGCUGUGACGUUACUCGCAGAAGAAGCACCGGCUAACUCCGUGCCAGCAGCCGCCGUAACAC
rnacentral:rRNA from 1 species